CGUGCCAGCAGCCGCGGUAAGACGUAGGAGGCGAGCGUUAUCCGGAUUUACUGGGCGUAAAGCGCACGCAGGCGGCUUCGUUAGUCGGAUGUGAAAGCUCCUGGCUUAACCGGGAGAGGCCAUUCGAUACUGCGGGGCUUGAGGUUGGAAGAGGGGUGUGGAAUUCCCGGUGUAGUGGUGGAAUGCGUAGAUAUCGGGAAGAACACCUGUGCGAAAGCGGCACCCUGGUCCACACCUGACGCUGAGGUGCGAAAGCGUGGGUAGCAAACAGGAUUAGAUACCCUGGUAGUCCACGCCGUAAACGAUGUCAACUGGGUGUCGGUGGUUUUACACUAUCGGUGCCGAAGCAAACGCGUUAAGUUGACCGCCUGGGGACUACGGCCGCAAGGCUA
rnacentral:rRNA from 1 species